rnacentral:rRNA from 1 species
GAUGAACGCUGGCGGCGUGCCUAAUACAUGCAAGUCGAGCGAACAGACGAGGAGCUUGCUCCUCUGACGUUAGCGGCGGACGGGUGAGUAACACGUGGAUAACCUACCUAUAAGACUGGGAUAACUUCGGGAAACCGGAGCUAAUACCGGAUAAUAUAUUGAACCGCAUGGUUCAAUAGUGAAAGACGGUUUUGCUGUCACUUAUAGAUGGAUCCGCGCCGCAUUAGCUAGUUGGUAAGGUAACGGCUUACCAAGGCAACGAUGCGUAGCCGACCUGAGAGGGUGAGCGGCCACACUGGAACUGAGACACGGUCCAGACUCCUACGGGAGGCAGCAGUAGGGAAUCUUCCGCAAUGGGCGAAAGCGUGACGGAGCAACGCCGCGUGAGUGAUGAAGGUCUUCGGAUCGUAAAACUCUGUUAUUAGGGAAGAACAAAUGUGUAAGUAACUAUGCACGUCUUGACGGUACCCAAUCAGAAAGCCACGGCUAACUACGUG